rnacentral:misc_RNA from 1 species
GUGAAUCAUCGAAUUUUUGAACGCAAAUUGCGCUUCCUGGCAUCCCGGGGAGUAUGCCUGUUUGAGGGUCAUUAUUAAUAAAAAGUCGUGUUAGGUGCAAGUUGUCACGUUUCCGGAGUUGGUGCUAUCUUAACAUUUUUGGUUAAGAGGCUUACAUUUGACCUUUGUUGCGCAGUUUUAAUCGUACAUAAAUUUUUUUAUUCGUCUGUUCUUAAUGCCAAA